UCGGGUAUGGUGUAGCGGUAACAUCGGUGACUCUCAAUUCGGUUGAAGUACUCACCAGCCCGGGGUUCGACUCCCCGUAUCCGAG
rnacentral:tRNA from 1 species